rnacentral:rRNA from 1 species
AUUACGUCCCUGCCCUUUGUACACAUCGGCCGUGGCUACUACCGAUUGAAUGGCUCGGCCCGUGCCCCCGCCGCGCCCGCCGCGCGCGGCGGGGGUCGGGCCGUAAAGUAUUUCGGUAUUGCUUCGGACGUAUAAUGCCUGGUAAGGGCCUUUAUCACGCUGCCUUGAUUACCUCCCUGACCUUUGUACACACCGCCCGUCGCUACUACCGAUUGAAUGGCUCGGCCCGUGCC